rnacentral:rRNA from 1 species
UGAACGCUGGCGGCAUGCUUUACACAUGCACGUCGAACGGCAGCGCGGGCUUCGGCCUGGCGGCGAGUGGCGAACGGGUGAGUAAUACAUCAGAACGUGCCCAGUAGUGGGGGAUAGCUCGGCGAAAGCCGGAUUAAUACCGCGUACGACCUGAGGGUGAAAGCGGGGGAUCUUCGGACCUCGCGCUAUUUGAGCGGCCGAUGGCAGAUUAGGUAGUUGGUGGGGUAAAGGCCUACCAAGGCGACGAUCUGUAGCUGGUCUGAGAGGACGACCAGCCACACUGGGACUGAGACACGGCCCAGACUCCUACGGGAGGCAGCAGUGGGGAAUUUUGGACAAUGGGCGAAAGCCUGAUCCAGCAAUGCCGCGUGUGUGAUGAAGGCCUUCGGGUUGUAAAGCACUUUUGGCGGGAACGAAAAGGACUGUGCCAAUACCACGGUUCGAUGACGGUACCCGCAGAAUAAGCACCGGCUAACUACGUG